GAUCAUGGCUCAGGAUGAACGCUAGCUACAGGCUUAACACAUGCAAGUCGAGGGGAAACGACAUCGAAAGCUUGCUUUUGAUGGGCGUCGACCGGCGCACGGGUGAGUAACGCGUAUCCAACCUGCCCGCCACUUGGGGAUAACCUUGCGAAAGUAAGACUAAUACCCAAUGAUACCUCUAGAAGACAUCUGAAAGAGAUUAAAGAUUUAUCGGUGAUGGAUGGGGAUGCGUCUGAUUAG
rnacentral:rRNA from 1 species